GAGUAGGCUGGACAGUCGCGCCAUAUCAUUUUGGGUAUGGUGAGGAAAGUCCGGGCUUCAUAGAGCAGGGCGCCGGUUAACGACCGGUAGAGGCGACUCUAAGGAAAGUGCAACAGAAAUAAACCGCCUGUUUUUUUGCAGGUAAGGGUGGAAAGGUGGGGUAAGAGCCCACCGCUCUUAUGGUAACAUAGGAGGCUCUGUAAACCCCGCCUGAAGCAAGACGAAAGAGGAAUCAGGAAGUGGCUCGCUUCCCCUCGCAAAAAGUCGCAUGAUGCUGUUGGCGACAACAGACCAAGAUAGAUGGCUGUCCACGACAGAACCCGGCUUAUAGGUCUGCUCGUU
rnacentral:RNase_P_RNA from 1 species